GCCGCGGGGACCCCCGUCCCGAGCCCCGCCCGGCCCGGCCCGCGCCAACUUCCCAGCGGGGGAAGGGGCGGAAAGUUGGCGCGGGGCGGGCGGGGAGGGGGCAGAGCCCCCCGAUUCCCGGCACCUGCCCGCAGCCCCGGCCCGGCCCGGGGGUGUGUCGGCGGGCGCGGAUGCGCGGCCGGGCGCGGUCCCUCCGUCCGGGCUGUGCCCGACCCUCCCCGCGCCUCCCGCCGUCUCGGGGGGACCCCCGCGCCCGCCAUCCCUCCAGGGGGCGGCCGGAGCGCGGCUCCGCCGAGGCCGGUCCCCACUGGCCGCCUCCCCGGUGAGUGACACGGGUGGGCCCGGCCUCCCCCGACUCUGAUGACACCGCGGAGGCAUUUCCUUUCCCCCGUCCCACUUUGUUCGGCUUGGAUGCUGCUGAAAGGGAGGGCUUGGCAGCGCCGGGAUCUGGAUUCCUCUUUCUAUGAAUAAUGCCCUUAUUAAAUUUUAACAUAUGAACCGAACAGGCCGGCCCCAGUUCCCGGCGCUUCCCUUCCCGGGGCCGUUCCCAGGCUCAGCUGGAGAGGUAACAUUCCCAAACACUGAGGCAGCCCCAACCUCUGGAUGGCCCUGCCCUCUCCCUUGCUCCAGAGCCAGGAUGCUCCUGACAGAUUCCCAGGCUUCCCUUGCGCCUUCCAGAACCCACUCCUAGCCUUUCUCCUCCGUGAGGGCAACUCCUGCAGCACUUGGCUGCUGCUCCACAUGCCCGGCUCUGCCCAGCCUCACAGUGAGGCACGUUGGGGACAGGGAGGAUUUGAGACAAAAUGGAGCACUGGAUAUUUGGAGGUGCUUCUGGAGGUGUCCCUGGCCCGCAGGAUGCCCUGUGCCCCCUCUGGCAGCGCGGCUGUGGCUUCCCAUCACACUCCUGUCAGGAUCAGCUUUCGGGGCACUUGUGACUCACUGCCUGUCGUGGGGUGCCGGCUCAGCCCUGACUCAGCUGCUGAGUCACCGUCUGUCUUGGCGGCCCCAGCUGUCUCCACCAUCCCCUGGGAGGGCACAGCCUGGCUGGGCUUUGGUCUCCUGCUGCCCCACUACCCUCAGCAGGUGCCUGUCCUGCGAGUGCCCAGAGCCCAUCCUGCCAGGGCAGCCUCCUCCCAUCUGUGCUGCCGCCAGCACUGGCACCUUCUGGCUCCCAGCCCAGGUGCCUUGUGUGAGUCCGAGUGGGGACAGUGCUGGUUUUGGGGAUGGAGCAGGGUGUGUCCUGGGAUGAUCCUGUGAUCCCCGGCCUUUUGCUGCUUCUCAUCUUCCCCCUGGAUGCUCUCUGGAGCUGGGAUGCUCCUCAGACAGCUCCAUCCCUGCAGGUGUGCAGAGCCCAGGGAGAGUGUGGGGCCCUUGGUGCUGCCGGGACCCUUCCCAGCUGCUGUGGCUGGAGGGGCCCAUGUCCAGGCUGGGUCCUUGACAGAGAUGUGGUGGUGUGGGGAUGGCUGAUGUCCUGUGGUGCUGGGUGGGUGCACCCAAGGUGGCCAGUGGGCCCCAAGGCUCACACUCAGCCCUCAGUAAAGGUGAUCAGGGUGAGUGCAUUGUGGGGUCUUGGCCCUGGGGGCUGGCAUCUCUGUUCCAUAGCAUGGGGAGUGCCUGCCAUAUCCCUCUGUGCCUCCCCAUGGCCCCUUUGCUCUUGCACCUGCCCUGCAAUCGGUCUGCCCUGGAGCAGGGCUGGAGCAGCUGCAGCCCAGGGCUGCACUUCCAGGCAGUGCAGGGGAAGGCCCAUGCAACUCUGCAUUGGACAUGGGGUGCCUGAGGGACUGGGGGUCAUGGAGGGGCUUGGGUGUUGUGUCACUGAAGCUGGUGACUUUGAACAAAUGACCUGCCAGCCUACACCUGCGCAUCCUGGCCAGUGAGAUGUGGGGGGGGGGGUUUUGCAGGGCCCAAGGGCUUGGGGCUGCCCUGUCCACCGUCCCUCACUGGAGCCAUGCCUGGGCAGUGGGGACUGGAGGUGCUCUGGCAGAGCAUCUCCUGCAGUGAGGCCACAACCAGGCCAGGGGCCACAGCAGGAAACCUGGCUUCUGCUCAGUCCCUUCUGGAGUAGCGUGGGGAUGUGGAGCGUGAGGGGGGUGAUGCUCAGCCCUUUUGGGCACGGCCGUGGCUUUGGCCCUGUGUGGCAGCACCACUCCUGGAGGGGCCGAUGGGGUAGGGGAGAGCGGGGGCUCGGUGCCGCCUGGGGCGGGGGCACCUGGGCUGCGGCCCUUGGCAGUAUUGUGCCGAUUCCAGUCAUCCCAAUGCUUGGUUCCUCGGGACGGGGGCACAGGAAGUGAGGGGGCUGCCAGCAGCCAGUAAGGACCGCGCAGAGGAGGAGGUUUGGUGGGAAUGGUGAGAGCCGUCCGUGCCGGGGAGGGGCGGCUGCCUGCCGACCCCGCCGAGCCUGGCGGGGCCCGGCACUGCCGGUGCCCGGUGCCCGGUGCCGCCCCGGCGGGCGCGGCGGCCGGAGCCCUCCCGUGCGGAGGGGCCGUGGGCGGGCGCGGGGGCCGCGCUGAGUGGGCUCCCUGCGCUCGGUCACGGCCGGGAUGAUGCACGGCCAUGGCAGACCCGCCGCCCCACGGGCACCGGGGAGCCCCCACGGCCUCCGCUGCCUCCCCACUGCGGGACCGCCCUGCUCAGCCCCGCACCUCCAGCCUCAGCAUCUCUAAACCGCUGUGCCGGGGCAGGGGCACCCACGGCUGCUGGGGUGCGGGCAGGCACUUGUGGGAUGGUUGUUGCUCGUGUGCCAGGCAGAGCUGGGAUGCAGGAGUCCCUGCCGGGGUGAUUUGCCGGCUCUGCAGCUCUGCUGGGCUCAAGCGGGGCUGGAAUGACCCCGGGGCUGCCUUCACUACAGAGACGGGUGCCUGGGCUGGCAGUGCCGGGUGGGCAACGGACAGUGCUGGCACUGGCAGCCGGCCCUUCUGCUCUGAUGCUGCCAGCAGCCCAGGAGAAGGGAGCUUUGUUCCCUGGGCAUCCAGCCUGGCACCACCCUCCUGGAUGCAGCCUCCACAGUCCACGGCCACCAGUGCUUCCUGGGCAGCUGUGGGCAGGUGUGGGCAGGGUGGCUUGGAGAGGUUUGGGGUGGGAUGGUGGAGGAAGCGGCAGCCAGUCAGGACACCCUAGGCUGGGAGGAGGGGGCCUGGGGCUAAAGGUCCUUUGUGCUGCUUCUCUGCCCAUGGGGAACAGGUGGGCACAGCAGUGUCCUGAGCUGGGGCACCCUGUGUGGGGCCAGGGUGGAUAAACCUCACAAUUGGCAAGUCCAGAGAGACAUCCUGGUGGGUUUGUGGCACUGAGUGACUGUGUGUCCCCAGCUUUGCUCCUGGAGCUGGUGGCUGCCCAGGCUGGCAGCAAGAGGGGUGGGUGACAUGGCCAGUGGGGGCACUGGCAUUUGGGGAGGUCUAACUGCUGGUCCCUAUGCACCCAGGGGUUUUCUCCAUCCCUCACCCAGUCUCCUUGUCCCAGGCUCUCCUCAGGGCUCUCUCCACCAUCCCUGUGGCUGCCCUCCCCGCCACCCUGGUUCCUGGCGGGCGCGGAGCAGCUUGGCUGCGCCGUGGGGUCUUGGCGGGGAAAGCACAGCGCGGCCGUCCCCUCCACAAAGCCGCACUGUUCAGAACAAAUCCGCCCAGAAUUGG